rnacentral:rRNA from 1 species
CAGCAGCCGCGGUAAUACGAAGGGUGCAAGCGUUAAUCGGAAUUACUGGGCGUAAAGCGUGCGUAGGCGGUUUGUUAAGUCUGUUGUGAAAUCCCCGGGCUCAACCUGGGAAUGGCAAUGGAUACUGGCAAGCUAGAGUGUGUCAGAGGAUGGUGGAAUUCCCGGUGUAGCGGAGAAAUGCGUAGAGAUCGGGAGGAACAUCAGUGGCGAAGGCGGCCAUCUGGGACAACACUGACGCUGAGGCACGAAAGCGUGGGGAGCAAACAGGAUUAGAUACCCCCGUAGUCCCUGUCCUUAUACA